AGUGAACGCUGGCGGUAGGCCUAACACAUGCGAGUCGAACGGCAGCACAGUAAGAGCUUGCUCUUACGGGUGGCGAGUGGCGGACGGGUGAGGAAUACAUCGGAAUCUACUUUUUCGUGGGGGAUAACGUAGGGAAACUUACGCUAAUACCGCAUACGACCUACGGGUGAAAGCAGGGGAUCUUCGGACCUUGCGCGAUUGAAUGAGCCGAUGUCGGAUUAGCUAGUUGGCGGGGUAAAGGCCCACCAAGGCGACGAUCCGUAGCUGGUCUGAGAGGAUGAUCACCCACACUGGAACUGAGACACGGUCCAGACUCCUACGGGAGGCAGCAGUGGGGAAUAUUGGACAAUGGGCGCAAGCCUGAUCCAGCCAUACCGCGUGGGUGAAGAAGGCCUUCGGGUUGUAAAGCCCUUUUGUUGGGAAAGAAAAGCAGCAGGUUAAUACCCCGCUGUUCUGACGGUACCCAAAGAAUAAGCACCGGCUAACUUCGUG
rnacentral:rRNA from 1 species